rnacentral:rRNA from 1 species
CCUACGGGAGGCAGCAGUGGGGAAUAUUGGACAAUGGGGGCAACCCUGAUCCAGCCAUGCCGCGUGUGUGAAGAAGGCCCUCGGGUUGUAAAGCACUUUCAGCGAGGAAGAACGCCUAGCGGUUAAUACCCGCUAGGAAAGACAUCACUCGCAGAAGAAGCACCGGCUAACUCCGUGCCAGCAGCCGCGGUAAUACGGAGGGUGCAAGCGUUAAUCGGAAUUACUGGGCGUAAAGCGCGUGUAGGUGGCUUGAUAAGCCGGUUGUGAAAGCCCCGGGCUCAACCUGGGAACGGCAUCCGGAACUGUCAAGCUAGAGUGCAGGAGAGGAAGGUAGAAUUCCCGGUGUAGCGGUGAAAUGCGUAGAGAUCGGGAGGAAUACCAGUGGCGAAGGCGGCCUUCUGGACUGACACUGACACUGAGGUGCGAAAGCGUGGGUAGCAAACAGGAUUAGAUACCCUGGUAGUCCACGCCGUAAACGAUGUCGACCAGCCGUUGGGUGCCUAGCGCACUUUGUGGCGAAGUUAACGCGAUAAGUCGACCGCCUGGGGAGUACGGCCGCAAGGUUAAAACUCAAAUGAAUUGACGGA